GCUGCCCGUGCUGGGCGGAGCGGGGCGGAGCGGGGGGCGGCCGGCCCCGGCGUCGCCCUUCCUGCGCUUGGAGAGGUUUCUGAAGCCGCUGAACGGCGCUGCAGCUGUAGGGGGCGGCUGCCCCCGGGAUGGGGUCGCGCAGAGAGAGAGAGGCACAGCCCUGCCAGAGAGUUUCCACCCUACCCGUCUGGGCACGGGCUGAUUCAUUCAUUCAUUCACUCAUUCAUUCAUUCAUUCAUCCAUUCAUUCAUUUAUUAAUUCGUUAAUUCAUCUAUUCGUUCGUUCGUUUAUUUAUUUAUUCAUUUAUUUAUUUAUUAUUUUAAAAGUUGCUUGUCGUACUCCAUUUUUAUUUUCCUGUUCAGCCUCAGCACUCUCAUUCUGAGAUGGUUUUCCUUUCAUGAGUUACUUGCUGCAGUGUCCUGCUCAUUUUCAUCUGUGCUGCGUAGACGCCUCCUGGUGCAGUUGCUUUGGAGUCAUCCUUCACAGCAGCAAGCAGACGUGACCCUGGUUAUCACGGUGACUCACUCAUGCUGUAGGAGUGGAUUGACAGUUCGGAUUGGAACUCAGCUACACCCAUGCCAAAAAAGAACACUUGGAGUGUGCAUGAUCUAACGGGUUUAAUUUUCACCCCAAAUUUGUGGGGAAUGGUGUUGGAAUGACUGGUAAUUACGCAGUGUUCCUUGGGAGUUUGGAUAUUGCUGUGCAUCUGCCUUUCCUAGUCGCUGGGGGACUAAAGAGAAGGCCCCGCAUGGCAGCCCUGUGCCAUGCAUACAGCACCACGGAAGAUAGCUCUGCCAAACCUAUUGGACGAUACCCAGUGCCAAAUAAGAAGGAUAUGCCAUACGAUAUUGUGGAGCUCAUGGAGGAAGUAGAAAGGAAGGUAAGAAGUUUUGUUGUAAAAUUACAUCAGUGGCAAGCAUCCAAACCUUGAGUAGGUAAUACAUUGUAAGACGUUGUAAUACAUUGUAAGUUCCCGUACACUUUGAUGUAACACAAUCCUGAUACAAGACUGAGGUGAGCUGCACUUCUUCCAAAGCUCUUUCCAAUCUAUAGGAUGGGGGUUUUACUGGUAAUUCUGCAGGGUAAACGCUGUAUGUCUUCCUGGUUCCCUGAGGC
rnacentral:lncRNA from 1 species